GGUACCAGUGGCACCGAGGAACUCGGUACCAACGGAGGUCUCAUCUUCGGGAACGAGAACCACGCUCCCUCUCUUUCUCCUUUUCUCUCUCUUUCUCUCUUUUUCCUCUCUUUUCGUCGUCGUUUACGAUACGACCACGUUGAGCACGUUCUCCGAUAACGAGCCCCACGAUCGGCAAAAGUGCGCCUAUAAAACCGAUCCUGGUCACCUGGAACACCUAGUCCACCGGUACACCGUGUCCGGAACACAUCGUCUCCGUGUCUCCGAAGAUUCACGUUUCUAGUUCAGGAUCUCCGAAUCGAGCAACUCCUUGAACAUUCGAUCGGCCGAAGAAUAUUUGUAAAAGUUUCGUACAGUUCGAAGAGUGGACGGAUCAAAGGCACGUGUCGUGUUUACCAGUGAACGCGAUACCUUUCGAUACCAGCUUUCGUGAAUUAAAGGAACGACGAUAAUCCGUCACUGUGUCGUUCGACUGGUUACCAGUGGGAAUUACACGUAGCUGUCUUUUCGAAGAAGCGAAAAUUGUAUAAUUCGCAAUGCUACGAAGCGGUUGCCGCGCCAAAACCACCAUGUUUGGAAGCAGCAGAGCGAGGACGAUAGUCCUGGUCGGCCUGAUGUUGCUCACGCUCCUCGACACGGUUAAUAGCACUCCUUACAAGAGGUCCUUGCUCAGGCUAUGCUCGAAAAGUCUCAGCGACGCUCUGUACCUCGCGUGCAAGGAUCGAGGUUACAACGAGCCGUUUUCCUACAGCAGCGAGGAUAGUCCUAUGGAUUCCGUGGGCCCGGGACUCGCGGAGGAGUGUUGCUACCAUACGUGCACCUAUACCCAGCUGCAACAAUAUUGCAAGCCGGACAAGUCCAGUUCCGUGGACGCCGUAAACAGCCCGGUCUGGAUAGAAAAGUACCCGUACCUGUCCACGAGGUCGGCAACCUCGUCGUCGUUGGAAGAGAGAUCGAGGUCGGACAUCGACUACGUCCACGGUACAAUUAAAUGUAAAAUCCACGGGUCGAGGGGAGCACGAAAGAAGGGGGCUAACAUGGACCGUGACGACGACGCCGGCGGCUGCGACAGGAAAAACCCGUUGAGGAGGCAUCGCGCCAGCCAUUGCGGCUGCAGGCAUCGACGACAGAGGCGUCGUCGUCUUGGCAAGAUGCUAGAGAAGAUAUCGGGCGUGAAAUCGGGUGCGCCAUUGAAAAAAGAGGUAGAAACGGAGACAAAAGCAACGACCCGUGAGGAGCCAUUUUGAAGCACCUCUUUCAUCUUAGCAUCGAAAUCUCUGUGUUCUAACUUCUUUCCUCCUUCGUUCGUGCACCCGUCGAGACAGUCGAAGAGACCACGAACUCGAAACAAUCGUAACAAACAAAGAGAGCUAAACGAGCAAAAGGAAGAAAAGCGCGAGAGGGAACAAAAUAUCUAAGGAAGAUGAGGCCAAUGGACAAGAAAGCGUGAGGAAGCUGAUCCAAGAGGACAGAGGCGGACGAAAGAGAGCGUGCAAUCAGUAAGAUGUCUAGUCCCAUAAAAUAGUGAGAAAUUGGUCAUUGUAUUUUCUGAAGUUGCGAAGGAAAAGAGAUUAGAGACGAGUAAGUUUAAGUCCUCCCUUCGAAUCUACGGCGCGAAUGGUCGACUUGGAAAUUUACAAUCUGAUCUACUCUGCAAUUUUUAACACAUUGCUCGAGUAUUUUACCAAGUGGAUAAAAAACAGGAAAAGAAAUAUAAAAGAUGGAAAUAACAUGGUCAAUUUUCGUGGAUUUCUCGUACAUGGGCCAUCGCAUCGCUUGAAAAACGACGCUCGAUGUCUCUGGAAGCACUGCUCGUGACGCGGAAUAUCGACAUUCACGAGUAAUCGCGGCUGAAUCCGAAAAAAAUGGAGAAGCUAUACGUAUGUAAUAAAUUGGAAAAACCGAUCCGGCCCAUCAGUCGCGCGCGAUCUCCUAGAGAAAGACUUAAAUCCAGUGUUGUAACACGUCUGACCUAACCCUAUACAAUAAGUCUCCCUUGUCGAACAAUGAUCUCACUAGUAUUAGAGCUAAGGAACUACAUUUAAUAAAUUAGUGCUGAACGAACUAGUCACUAAGGACGAUGGUAGGAAAUACCGAGCAACCGAGAGAGGCAGACGAAAUAUGCGAGGCGAUCGGAACUUUCUCGGAGAACAAAGUCAGAACCGCGAUUCCUUUUUGGGCGAUGAAGUUUAGGUGGGAAAUUUCUCGCUUCGUUUUUAUUUGCGUGCCUUUUUGAAUAGAAAGAAGUCAAUCUGGCCUUCAACACCCCUAUUGCCCUAUUUAAUAAAUUUUACGUGAUUUAAUCGUAUCCUUAAAUCAACGUAUUUUCUCUUUCUGUACGAAAUUUUAAUGCAGAUGUUUCUUCCUUUGGUUUUGUUGAUCGAGAUAAAUUUUGAAGAUUUCGACGAAUUUCCAUUAUUAUCUAAUACGAUAGGGUGGUUAAACGAGUCACAAGAAUAAUGGAAUAAGUUUGGUAAUAAAACAAAUGAAAUCUUACAAUUUACGUAUCCUAUUAUUAUCCUAUUCGAUUCAAUUCACUAACAUCAUUAACUAGUAAAUUAUUGCGAAUAAGGACAUGCAACAGCGCUGUAUCUUUCGCAAAUCAAAGAAUUCGCUUCUAUAGAGUCGAGCUUAGAUUCUGCGUGACUCCGAACCAUUCGACAAUUUCCAAAAUCUUACAAUUUAAAUACCGUAACGCGCAAUUGCCGCUUAACUUUACGAACAGUAGAACCAAUUUUCCAAUAAAAUUGGUCAGAUCGACUUCUGAAUAGUUCGAAUCGCUUAAUACAAUUAUGUAAAGGAGCAAGAGGAAAGCUCUCUGAAUUUUUCAGCCUGGACAGCGUUAAUUCUUGUUCUACGCGAAAAGAAGAGAAACUGUUCCACAGCAUCGGAAUUAUUUCGAGGCAAACUCGAACGAUUUAAAAAUUUGUUUAAACUGCCGAGUUUCACGGAACAUCGUUGCGCGAGUAUUGCGACUCGGGAAAAACAAACUCGAUAAGAUGAAAGAAGAAAGUGAAAAAGAAAUGCAAUUGUGUAUUGCGAAUUGAAACACGAGUAAAUAGUUAUGUAGGUAUAAAUAAGCGGAUAUAUCUGCGAUAGAAAAUAGCUGUGUCGUUUAACAACGUUCAAUUUUGCCCCCAUACUGUAUAGUGAGAUACUCGAGGCACGCUCGAACGGUGCAUAAUAAUUCGAGGGUCGCGAACCACCAGAUGUGUUUGACGUCAUUCGCCACUAGUUUUCUGUUGUAUUAGUUAAUUUAUUUAAUUCGACUCUCGACUCUGAACGCUCGAGUGUGCCAUUUCAAAAUCUACUAUUUCGAGAGUAUACGUAACGGGUAGCGUAUACGGACUUAGCGAAGUAUCGAAAGAAGUAUAGCGAAACAUUCGAAAAAUUCUAUAGUGAUAAUUAUUUGUAUCUUCAUUUUUUAAUAAAAAAUAGAAAAAAUAUGAAUAAUUAUUAUUAUGGAAUAUAUAUGUAAAUUUCUUUUUAAUAUUAGGUGUGUAAAUUGAUCCGAUAUAUCUAGUUUUAAUAACUUUUUAUAGGUAAAUUAUUUUAGAUUUAAAUAUUUUCCCGUCUUGUAAAUUUCUUACAAAUGUACAAGUAUCCUUUAAAGGAGCAUCGCCCGUAACUUUGCCCGACAAUCUCGAAUAUAGAUUAGAAGAUUAAAAAUUAAUAUAGAAAUUAUUUCAACGAUGAAAUUAGUAUUAUAUUCCUAAAUAAAGCAUUCGAUAAACUUUCGUCGAUAUGGCAUCAAUUUAAUUUACACGCCAAUGAAUUAAAACGCAUGAAAUGCGAAUAAGUUUUCUUAAAUAAUAAAAGUCCAGAUGUAACGUAUAAGGCAUUGAUAAGUCUAGUGUAAAAAUGUUAGAAUAUUCAUUAUACUUCUUCCAUCAAGUAUUCAUAAAUAUCAUUUCACAAGCGCAUUUAUGUACAUAGUUUCUCAUUUUCUCGUCAUUCAUGUUCAACCACUGUAAAUAAACCCUACAUUCGCCACGGGUCCUGUAUAGCGAGAAACGAUUUAAAUAUUUAUAUCAAUCGAAUAGUUACUUGUUCGCAAUCUCAUUCCUCCUUCCUGUUCUGUCACGUCUAUCAUAGAAGAUUGCGAUUCAUACGAGACACGUGGCGAGUUCUUGCGUAACCGGCUUGCAGAUAGCGAUGGGGUCGAUUUUCGCGUGCUGUCAAAACUUAUUCAUGGAAAUUGUUGUCCAGUUCUAUCUGCUAGAAUUUGCAUAAAAAAUACACGAACGCUUAAACUGACACAUUUUUGUUCGAUUUUUUUUUUACCCUUCGAGAUUUUUCAUACUCAUUUUACCCACUCAUUUUACCUUUUCUCCUGCCCCAAAAUAUUCGAUAAUUAUAAUAUUUACAACGAACAGAACGAAAUGUAUUUCAUUCUUGCGAUCUUUCACUUUGCGGACUCUUUCGAAUCUUUAAUCAAAAUCCGAGGGUGGAAAUCCAAAAUUCAAUUCGGAAACGUGGUUUCGUGGUUGAUAGUUUGAUAUCUUUCUCUUAAAUAUCUACAACUAGAAAAAUUAUCUCUAAGAUUUAAUGAUUCCUGGCUUUUGUAUCAUUGGAUGAAGAGGCCCCCUCGAUGAUAGAUAAUCUGAUAUAAUGAUUUCAAGUGGGUGAAAUUGGAAGGAAACGCAAUACCUUUACCUGACGCUAGAACUUUCAGAAUGGUCAAAGUGACAAAUUUAUAAUUCUUCAUAGAAAUUUUACAUAUUCCGACGAUUUGAACGAUUCUUUUGCAAAAUAUAUGAAUAAAAGCUUAUCUCGUCCCUUGCAUUAUAAUUUCGUCGUAUGCUAUCCAUUUUGAUUUCAUUUUUUUUUUUAUUACAAAUUUUUUGUACUUCAUCUUUUAUCAGUAUUCCUAGUACGGAGUCAUAAUACGUUUUAAAAUCUCGAAACCUAUAAUUUCUACGAUAUUUGUCAGGCAAAAAUCGAAGAAAGUGAUCUUAUAGCAGAUAACGUUGAUUAAUAAAUGCCAUUAACGUAAUAUAUUUCAUAAAAAAUAAUUAGCUUUUAUACAGCCAAUUGCCUAAUUUCGAAAAACCUAGUAGAAGUUGAUAAAUUUCAAAGGGAACGUUCGCCAAGUGUCUUUUGUAGAAGAAUUAUUGUUUCUGAGAAUGUAUUUUGGCGCAUCUUGUGGCAGAUUGAACCAUUAACAGAUCACGUUGAUGCCAACGUGUCGAACACGCUAGUCGCGCACAAAGAGCGUGAACGAGCACAGCCUCCUCAUUCUCUGGCCAGUAGAAAGAUGUUCGAGAAUUCGGUCUUUAUUAGGCGAUCUCGUGACAGAUAACACGCGGCACUCUGUGGUGCUUCUUUAAAAUCAGAAAUCGCUCUUGUUAGCACGCUUGUAGUUAAGAAUUAUUAUCCACUUGUUACUCGAAUCUGUAAUACCUACUUUGGCCGAGAAAUACGAAUUCCUAUAAAAUAAGGAGAAAAUCCUGGAAUUCAUAGAAUUUAAUAAUCGUCGAUCGUGUUCAUUCCCUAGCGGAGAUCAACGCUAUAAAGACAAGAUAUUAGGCAUUUGAAAAAUAAAAAUUGAAUCUUCGUGAAAUAUUAAUAUCGCAUAAACUUUUUACACAAGGGAAUGAUGGUUUGGUUUGAAAUUAUUGAAAAUGUAUUGAUCGGAUCAAAGAGCGACUUUGAGAAAAAGAGGAAAGUUUCACAUACAGAAGAUCUGCUCAAAAGUUACAACACCGUUCAUCGUUAUUGGCCUAUAGAUAUUUGUGUAUUUAUAGAAAAUUUAAGCAAAGGAUCGAAGAUGCACCGAAAGAAUUUUUCGCUUAUUUCACGAUAGAAAUAUCACGUUAGAAGUUGAAAAGACCGAGAAAGUAUUUUCAUCAGUUCGAUAAGAAGAGAGGCUAGAAAGAUUUGCAGAAAAUCCAAUAUUCUUCAAAUUGCAAAGCACAAGUUCCGAGAAUAUAGCGCACUGCACACGCUCUCCUCUCUAUAAAACCAGAAUUUAUAAAACCGUAACCUUCAACAAGCAAAGGCGGUAUUAAUUAUUACGACGUGUAUAACGGCUGUUUCGAGCAGUACUUUACAGAUCCAAAAAUACGGUCUUUGAAAGCGCGCAGGACCACACGACACGCGUCGUUCUAGGCGCAGAAAUAAACUUUACGACUACUCGCAAAAUCUGUUUCUCCGCGACGUAGGGAUAUACAGGAAAAAGAAGAAAAGAAACGACGUCUUAGACGAAUGACAGAAGUGACAGAAACCUUUAUUAUCCGAAAGAUUUACGUCCGCUGUCUGUAUGUUCGUUUCGAUCCCAUCACUACCUGCACGAUGCCCAUUAUUCCGGCAGCUAUUAACCGCUGCACACGGUUCGCUUGUAAAUUGGAUGAUAGUAGCAAACCCACUACGGGACAUCGUUUCUCUCUCGCGAUCCUCCGUGCGAGUGCACUUUCGGCCACAAGCACAGUGCGGAAUGCAUUCGACAAAAAACGAAAUAAACAUUGUUCGAUCUUGAUCUUAUUAGUCGAUGAAUAUCAUCGGUCUUUGAGUAAAUAAUAUGUAAGUAAAUAACAAAUGUAAGCAAUAAUUCCGUCGACGAUCGAUAGAGGAUUAGUAAGAAUCGUUUGUACAUCAGAAUCUAUCACUCGAUAGUUAUAUUCUCGUUUGUCAAUUCUCGUUAAAUAGAAAGACGCGUAUAAUUUUAAUUUUCAAUUAAAAGGUCCCUUUCCUUCUUUAAGGAAUAAAAGAAGAAUGGUCCGAACCACGACUGUAAUUUUUAUCGUUCCGUGUCAACAAGAUAUUGUAUUACAUUGUUAUGUAAAUGUAUGUUGUUAAUUUUUUUAGUGAAAUUCAUUCGUAACCGCGACUUGAUCGAAGAGCGAAUUUCUGACGCCUAUCCUAAGAAAAUUUUAAAAGUAAGACAAAAGUCCUGUUCUUUAUCGAAUGUCAGCACAAUAUUCGACGAGACGGAAGGGCAACGAAAUGAUUUCUGCGUGAUACUUACGAAAGAACGGUAAGAUUGUUCCUGGCAUCGGCGCUAUUUACUUAAACGUCACCGCGUGUAGUUAGACAAAGAGGUAGCCAUUCAAGACAUCUCAACUGAGCCAGGGAGCAGAGAAAACACUAACAGACACGAUAAAUAGACCUUCACUCAUCUCGCAUCCCCUGAUAUCGAAUUUCGAGAAAGCUGCACAUUGUAUCCAUCUUUUUGACCUUUGCCCUCGAUCCUCGUUGAAAUGUCGCACCGCGAAACGUCAGAAUGUGGCCUGCGAACCUGCGUAAGUGGCCUGAGCACGUGCGAACCUGUUCCGCGAACGUUGCCCACGAAUGCGACCUCCGAACGUGCGUAUCUAGUGUGCGAACAUGAUCCGUGAACAUGGCCUACGAACCUGGUCCGCGGACGUGGCCUGCGAGCGUGCGAAUGUGACUUACGAACGUGCCAACGUGCGAACAUGGCCUGCGAACAUGGCCUGCGAACAUGGCCUGCGAACGUUGCCAGUGAAUUUUUAUUUUUGUUCCCAAUCGUCAUUGGAACGUCGCAUUCUGCUAAGUAUCUACGGGUGAUACGUGGAGCGCAAAUCUCGAAACGCGUAAGAUCGUUCCAUUUUUUCAUCCAGGAUCUCUUGCUUUCAUAAAGAAUUCGUCCUCGGAUCAUUUCUUGAAUUAAUUCGAACGUACAAAUUUUUGGUCGCGAAAUUGGCAAGUAAAAUUUUCUAUUAGCCUCGUACACGUGCAUUGUACAUACAUGGGCGAUGAUGUAUUAAUUUUGUUUAAAUGCAGUGAUUAUUUGUAAGUCGUAAGUGGUGUUCUGUUAUUCGAAUGGAGAUGAGGAGAGUAUGAAUCAAUGCUAUGUUGAGUGUCUCAACCCUUGAGAUUAAUGGGAUAUGUCUCAAGGCAAUUUUCAUAAGGAACGCUGAGAGUCGUUAUAAUUUUGAAAGCACGCAUCGAGAUAUAUAGUAUGCAUGAAUCUCUGAGAAGCGAAAUUUGACGUUCAAUUUGUUUAUCCGUGUAGAUGAUUAGCCUGCAACUGCCCGAAAGAGCUUGGAUUAUCGCUAAACUGCGGAUUUGUAUGCAAAUGAUCAUUUAUAUGAACGUAGUUUGGAAAAUGGAAAAAGAUAGAAAAUUGAAAAUCAUGGCUUAACAAAUGGUCCUGCCAAGUUCGAUUAUAAACUGCAAAAUAUUGCAGAGGAGAGUUUUGCUCUGUUUGCGAAACCUAUCAACGUAUGGUGUAAUUUUCUUUACAAAUUCACCAGUGUGUUUGCAAAGAUUAAUUGCAUUCUUUUUAAAUGCAAUUGCACAUUUAUUCGAUAUUUAUUUGUAAAUAUACAGUGUGUAUUUAUUAAAUGCGAAUGAAACCUGCCUUCUAGUGAAAGGUGAUGACUAUUCGUAUUUAUAUUUCGAUGUCGUAAUACCGUAAUGCGUCUCGAGGUGAAAUUAUGUUAUGUCUUAAGAAGUUUGAGUAUUUUGCUUACUUCUGCAGGAGAAUAAGUACGUAGAAUGAUCCACAUUGUUGCGAUAUUCCAGUUGCGUUCCAUGAUUUUACGACAAAAUAUUUCAAACAAGAGCUCAAUUUAUAAUGUAAACGUAAAAGUAUUACGAUGCAAAUAAAUGAAAUAUGUUUUCGAAG